rnacentral:rRNA from 1 species
UACGCGAAGACCUUACCUGGUCUUGACAUCCGCGGAACUCGGCAGAAAUGCCUUGGUGCCUUCGGGAAUCGCGAGACAGGUGCUGCAUGGCUGUCGCCAGCUCGUGUCGUGAGAUGUUGGGUUAAGUCCCGCAACGAGCGCAACCCUUGUCCUUAGUUGCCAUCAUUCAGUUGGGAACUCUAAGGAGACCGCCGGUGACAAACCGGAGGAAGGUGGGGAUGACGUCAAGUCAUCAUGGCCCUUAUGACCAGGGCUACACACGUGCUACAAUGGGCGGUACAAAGGGUUGCCAACCCGCGAGGGGGAGCCAAUCCCAAAAAGCCGUUCGUAGUCCGGAUCGGAGUCUGCAACUCGACUCCGUGAAGUCGGAAUCGCUAGUAAUCGCAGAUCAGCAUUGCUGCGGUGAAUACGUUCCCGGGUCUUGUACACACCG